UCAGUCAAAUUCAGAUCCGUUUUUCGAAUCCAUGAUAUAAUAUAACCAAAUUGGAUAGAUCUUCCACCUGUUUAGCUAAGAAAGAAUAGAUACAGAGGUGGAUAAUAGAUCGAUAUGAAGAUCAUGAGCUGCCCCAUAAUGAAAUCGCCAGUAGUCGCGAAUAUCUCCUUCUUCCCUAAUCCAAGAUUGGAGAAAGAAGAUCUAAGAGGGACCUAUGGAGAAUGUAGUCAGAAAUCCAUAAUAGAGUCCGACCACAAUGACCGAAUUAAUUAUCCUCAUCGAGAAACUUAGACUACUAAAUAGAAAAGAUUUGAAAAUCAUGGCAUGGGUCUCCUUUUUUUCUUUCUUUAGAGUUUUCUAUAUGCACAAUUUCUCGAUGUUUCGAUGAGAAUUUCUUGACUUUCCGUAUAUAGAAAGAGAUAGACUAUAAAUGACAUCUCUUAUGUCAAUAAGACCAAAGGGAUGGAUAUUAAAUGAUAGGAAGUGCUAGGAAGUGAAAUAGAAUGAAAUAGAGCCACUUUGGGCUUCCCUAUGAAAUGAGGCAUGGAACGGAGCCACUACGAAGAAAUUAUGGGAGUUACGAAAGAAGCUUCGGACUCAUAUUGUUCAUGGGUUGAGAGCGGGAGUUGAACUCUAGGAGGUCGAAUCCCCCCUUGUUCCUCAGUAGCUCAGUGGUAGAGCGGUCGGCUGUUAACUGACUGGUCGUAGGUUCGAAUCCUACUUGGGGAGAUUUUAUUCAUUCUUUAAUGUAAGAAUUUUAAUGUAAGAAUAAAGAAUUGAAUUAAAGGGCUUGCUUUGACCCUUAGGAGUAGGUAACCCGUUCGCUAUCCUUGUUUCUAUUUCUAUUGCAUUCUAUCUCAUCGUAUCACAUUCUGUUCUACGAUUCCACUUCGACAAAAGGAAAGAGCAUACCUAAGUUCAAUAGCUUUACGUCCGCUAUCCCGAUCAUGAUUUUCCUACCCUCAGGGGGAAAGUAAAGGCCCUUCCCCCUUUGGAAGGCU